UUCCAGCUCUCAAGGUGUAUAUCGCCAUUGCUGCGGUUAAAAAGCUCGUAGUUGGAUCUGCGCCUUCGGACUCGGUCCGCCCAACGGGUGUGAACUGGGAUCCAAGGCUUAUACUGCUGGUUUUCCCUUGAUGCUCUUCACUGGGUGUCUUGGGUGGCUAGCGAGUUUACUUUGAAAAAAUUAGAGUGCUUAACACAGGCUAUCGCCUGAAUACUUGUGCAUGGAAUAAUAGAAUAAGACCACGGCUCUAUUUUAUUGGUUUUCGGAACUGUGAUAAUGGUUAAGAGGGACAGACGGGGGCAUUCGUAUCGCUGCGUGAGAGGUGAAAUUCUUGGACCGCAGCGAGACGCCCUACUGCGAAAGCAUUUGCCAAGAAUGUCUUCGUUAAUCAAGAACGAAAGUCAGAGGUUCGAAGGCGAUCAGAUACCGCCCUAGUUCUGACCGUAAACGAUGCCAACUAGCGAUCCGUCGGUGGUAAUUACGCCCCGGCGGGGAGCUUCCCGGAAACGAAAGUCUUCCGGUUCCGGGGGAAGUAUGGUUGCAAAGCUGAAACUUAAAGGAAUUGACGGAAGGGCACCACCAGGAGUGGAGCCUGCGGCUUAAUUUGACUCAACACGGGAAAACUCACCCGGCCCGGACACCGUAAGGAUUGACAGAUUGAGAGCUCUUUCUUGAUUCGGUGGUUGGUGGUGCAUGGCCGUUCUUAGUUGGUGGAGCGAUUUGUCUGGUUUAUUCCGAUAACGAACGAGACUCUGGCCUACUAAAUAGUGACAGGAUUAUUACUGUCCUGGAUACUUCUUAGAGGGACAAGUGGUUUUCAGCCACACGAAAUUGAGCAAUAA
rnacentral:rRNA from 1 species